rnacentral:rRNA from 1 species
GAUGAACGCUAGCGGCAGGCUUAAUACAUGCAAGUCGAGGGGCAGCAGCUUUAUAGCAAUAUAGAGGCUGGCGACCGGCAAACGGGUGCGGAACACGUACACAACCUUCCUUGAAUAGGGGGAUAGCCCAUAGAAAUGUGGAUUAAUACCCCGUAAUAUAGCGGUGUGGCAUCACACUGUUAUUAUAGUUUCGGCGAUUCGAGAUGGGUGUGCGGCUGAUUAGGUAGUUGGCGGGGUAAAGGCCCACCAAGCCUUCGAUCAGUAGCUGAUGUGAGAGCAUGAUCAGCCACACGGGCACUGAGACACGGGCCCGACUCCUACGGGAGGCAGCAGUAAGGAAUAUUGGUCAAUGGACGCAAGUCUGAACCAGCCAUGCCGCGUGAAGGAUGAGGGUCCUCUGGAUUGUAAACUUCUUUUAUAGGGGGCGAAAAAAGGUCUUUCUAGAUCACUUGACAGUACCCUAUGAAUAAGCACCGGCUAACUCC